rnacentral:rRNA from 1 species
CCUAGGGGAGGCAGCAGUGGGGAAUAUUGCACAAUGGGCGAAAGCCUGAUGCAGCAACGCCGCGUGCGGGAUGACGGCCUUCGGGUUGUAAACCGCUUUCAGCAGGGACGAAGGUUUUCUGACGGUACCUGCAGAAGAAGCACCGGCUAACUACGUGCCAGCAGCCGCGGUGAUACGUAGGGGGCGAGCGUUGUCCGGAAUUAUUGGGCGUAAAGAGCUUGUAGGCGGUUCGUUGCGUCGGAAGUGAAAACUCAGGGCUUAACCCUGAGCCUGCUUUCGAUACGGGCGGACUUGAGGGAUGUAGGGGAGAACGGAAUUCCUGGUGGAGCGGUGGAAUGCGCAGAUAUCAGGAGGAACACCAGUGGCGAAGGCGGUUCUCUGGACAUUUCCUGACGCUGAGAAGCGAAAGCGUGGGGAGCAAACA